rnacentral:rRNA from 1 species
AACGAACGCUGGCGGCAUGCCUAACACAUGCAAGUCGAACGAGAACUUCGGGUUUGGUGGCUACUGGGUGCGUAACGGGUGGGAACCUGCCUUUAUGUUCUGCAUAACUCCCCGAAAGGGGUGCUAAUACCGGGUAAUGUCUCCGGACCAAAGAUUUAUCGCCUUUGGAUGGGGCCGCGUUGGAUUAGCGAGGUGGUAGGGUAAAAGCAAACCAAGGCGACGAUCCAUAGUUGGUCUGAGAGGCGGCUCAGGCACACUGGGACUGAGACAAGGCCCAGACUCCUACGAGAGGCAGCAAUGGGUAAUAAUGGGCCAUGGGCGAAAGGCUGAUCCAGCAAUGCCGCGUGAGUGAUGAAGGCCUUAGGGUUGUAAAGCUCUUUUAACCGGGAUGAUAAUGACAGUACCUGGAGAAUAAGCUCCGGCUAACUCCGUG